GUGCUUACUUUGGCAACACAUAUAGUAAAAUUGGAAUAAGACAGAGAGAAAUAGCAUGGCCCCUGUGUGAGGAUGACACACAAAUUCAUGAAGCAUUCCAUAUUUUU